UGAGGAAUAUUGGUCAAUGGGCGCAAGCCUGAACCAGCCAUGCCGCGUGCGGGAAGAAGGCGCUACGCGUCGUAAACCGCUUUUGUCCGGGGGUAACCGCGGGGACGUGUCCCCGCCUGCAAGUACCGGACGAAUAAGGGUCGGCUAACUCCGUGCCAGCAGCCGCGGUAAUACGGAGGACCCGAGCGUUAUCCGGAUUCAUUGGGUUUAAAGGGUGCGUAGGCGGCCCGGUAAGUCAGCGGUGAAAGGCUCCUGCUCCACAGGAGAGCUGCCGUUGAUACUGCUGGGCUAGAAUCUUAGCGAGGCGGGCGGAAUGCGCGGUGUAGCGGUGAAAUGCAUAGAUAUCGCGCAGAACGCCGAUUGGGGAGCCAGCUCGCCAGCUGUGUAUUGACGCUGAGGCACGAAAGCGUGGGGAUCGAACA
rnacentral:rRNA from 1 species